rnacentral:rRNA from 1 species
GCUUAACACAUGCAAGUCGAGCGAUGAAGCUCUUCGGAAGUGGAUUAGCGGCGGACGGGUGAGUAACACGUGGGUAACCUGCCUCAUAGAGGGGAAUAGCCUUCCGAAAGGAAGAUUAAUACCGCAUAAGAUUGUAAUAUCGCAUGAUAUAGCAAUUAAAGGAGUAAUCCGCUAUGAGAUGGACCCGCGUCGCAUUAGCUAGUUGGUGAGGUAACGGCUCACCAAGGCGACGAUGCGUAGCCGACCUGAGAGGGUGAUCGGCCACAUUGGGACUGAGACACGGCCCAGACUCCUACGGGAGGCAGCAGUGGGGAAUAUUGCACAAUGGGGGAAACCCUGAUGCAGCAAAACCGCCGCGUGAGUGAUGACGGUCUUCGGAUUGUAAAGCUCUGUCUUCAGGGACGAUAAUGACGGUACCUGAGGAGGAAGCCACGGCUAACUACGUGCCAGCAGCAGC